AGUAAGUGAAGUCUGAGAAAAGGCCUUUAGAAUAUAGUCUUCUUCACCCCAUAAAUCAAUUUUUUCAUUCACACUUUCGUCAACCACUUUGCAUAAAAACAGUACGGCUUCACGUUGCACCCUUGGAUUGAUAUCUAAAAUUAGCUUCAGCACUUUUAAAAUUUCAGAAUUUUCUAAAAAUCCGCAAGUCCUCAUAGCGUUACACAAACGAAUGCUGGCUACACGAACUCCAAUAUCGGCGUCCACACAACUCAUCUCGAGUAUUCUUUCUUUA